GCGAUACCGCGAAUGGCUCAAUAUAUCAGUUUUGGUUCCUUAGAUCUUACUCAGUUACUUGGAUAACUGUGGCAAUUCUAGAGCUAAUACAUGCAAUCAGAGCUCCGACCAGUGAUGGGAAGAGUGCUUUUAUUAGAUCAAAACCAAUCGACGGAGGCUGGCCUCGGUCGCCGAAGUCGUUUCUUUUGAUGAGUCUGGAUAACUUUUGCCGAUCGCACGGUCCAGUACCGGCGACGCAUCUUUCAAAUGUCUGCCUUAUCAACUUUCGAUGGUAGUUUCUGCGACUACCAUGGUUGUCACGGGUAACGGGGAAUCAGGGUUCGAUUCCGGAGAGGGAGCCUGAGAAACGGCUACCACAUCCAAGGAAGGCAGCAGGCGCGCAAAUUACCCACUCCCGGCACGGGGAGGUAGUGACGAAAAAUAACGAUACGGGACUCUUUCGAGGCCUCGUAAUCGGAAUGAGAACACUUUAAAUAUUUUAACGAGUAUCAAUUGGAGGGCAAGUCUGGUGCCAGCAGCCGCGGUAAUUCCAGCUCCAAUAGCGUAUACUAAAAUUGUUGCGGUUAAAAAGCUCGUAGUUGCAUUUGUGCGCCGCGCUGUCGGCUUMCCGCGUCAGCGGUGAGACUGACACGUUUGCGGAGCAUAUCGUCGGUGAGCUUUCGGUAAAACGGAAGUUCAAUAUCAAAAAUCCUAUCUGGUGCUCUUCGUUGAGUGUCGAGGUGGGCCGGCUCAAAAUGCUGCUUGAAUAUNGAGUGCAUGGAAUAAUGGAAUACAACCUCGGUUCUAUUUUGUUGGUUUUCAGAACUCCGAGGUAAUGAUUAAUAGGGAUAACUGGGGGCAUUCGUAUUGCGACGUUAGAGGUGAAAUUCUUGGAUCGUCGCAAGNNNNACAUCAGCGAAGGCAUUUCCAAAGGUGUUUUCAUCAAUCAAGAACGAAAGUCAGAGGUUCGAAGGCGAUUAGAUACCGCCCUAGUUCUGACCAUAAAUAUGUCGAUUAGCGAUCCGCCGAUGUUACUACAAUGGCUCGGCGGGCGGCUU
rnacentral:rRNA from 1 species